GGCAAGAUGGCCGAGCGGUCUAAGGCGCCACGUUAAGGUAAACCCUUAAUUCCUAUCUUCUGGAUUCCGUGGUCCGAAAGGGCGUGGGUUCGAAUCCCACUCUUGUCA